rnacentral:rRNA from 1 species
CCUACGGGAGGCUGCAGUGAGGAAUAUUGGUCAAUGGACGAGAGUCUGAACCAGCCAAGUAGCGUGAAGGAUGACUGCCCUCUGGGUUGUAAACUUCUUUUAUAUGGGAAUAAAAUGUUCCAAGUGUGGGAUUUUGUAUGUACCAUAUGAAUAAGGAUAGGCUAACUCCGUGCCAGCAGCCGCGGUAAUACGGAGGAUCCGAGCGUUAUCCGGAUUUCUUGGGUUUAAAGGGAGCGUAGGUGGAUUGUUAAGUCAGUUGUGCAAGUUUGCGGCUCAACCGUAAAAUUGCAGUUGAAACUGGCAGUCUUGAGUACAGUAGAGGUGGGCGGAAUUCGUGGUGUAGCGGUGAAAUGCUUAGAUAUCACGAAGAACUCCGAUGGCGAAGGCAGCUCACUGGACUGCAACUGACACUGAGGCUCGAAAGUGUGGGUAUCAAACAGGAUUAGAUACCCCUGUAGUC